AGCGAACGCUGGCGGCAGGCCUAACACAUGCAAGUCGAACGAACCUUUCGGGGUUAGUGGCGGACGGGUGAGUAACACGUGGGAACGUGCCUUUAGGUUCGGAAUAACUCAGGGAAACUUGUGCUAAUACCGAAUGUGCCCUUCGGGGGAAAGAUUUAUCGCCUUUAGAGCGGCCCGCGUCUGAUUAGCUAGUUGGUUGAGGUAAUGGCUCACCAAGGCUACGAUCAGUAGCUGGUCUGAGAGGAUGAUCAGCCACAUUGGGACUGAGACACGGCCCAAACUCCUACGGGAGGCAGCAGUGGGGAAUCUUGCGCAAUGGGCGAAAGCCUGACGCAGCCAUGCCGCGUGAAUGAUGAAGGUCUUAGGAUUGUAAAAUUCUUUCACCGGGGACGAUAAUGACGGUACCCGGAGAAGAAGCCCCGGCUAACUUCGUG
rnacentral:rRNA from 1 species